UGGGGCAGCUCUGGACAACUGCACUGCCUUCUAAUAUGUUUUAUCUGCUGGUGAAAUGAGCCAAUUCAAGUCAGAUUAAAGCAUACAGGUGCCCUGGUGUACUUCCAUACUGAAAUGUCUUUCUGUGUGAGACGCUGACCAAAUGUCCACACUAUUCCAUUAAAAGGGUACCAGCUCCCACAGAGAAGCGGACAGAUGGCACGGCACUGGCCAGCAGGUGGCGCAGCGGUCCCAAAGGUUGCUCUUUUCCCUGAGACUCUUCCGUGGACUCUUGGCGCAGCGAUGGUUGCGCAUCCAACUGUAGCCCUCUGAACUCUAAACGCUACCCACAUUAGCUUCAAAAGCAAAUAUUCCAAAGAAAACGAAGGAGACUCCGUAAAAGAGGUUGCAAUCUAUGAGUUCACAGAUCUUCCCAGCACCGAGUGAGGGUAAGCCUGUGUGCUAGCCUUGAUAUUCCUACAAGCCGGAACCAAGAAUUUCAUUAUAGUAUUCUGGAACCUGGUUCUCAGAGCCUUGCUUGGAGAUAACAAUCAGGCACAUCCAUAGAGAACUUGCUGCAAAGAUUUAUUUAGGUAUAAAGGAGAAAGAAGCUUGAGGACACAGCAUGGCACAAAUACAGUAUCCUUCAAGAUUUCAAGUCACAGGACAAACUAUUCUUGUUCUCAGUGCUCAAUGGCAGCAGAGUCAGAAGACGUAGCCUCGGUAACUGCAGGCCCCAUAGAGGCGUUCGAGGAAACCACAGCCUCUUCUUCUACAGUAGCAGGUCAAGCCUGACUUCACAUCUGGGGAUAGAGAGAUCGCAUGAGACACUCGGAGCCUGGGUCAGUGGAUGGAAGAGAUCCUGGGCAGGAUAUAGACUGGGUGAAGUGGGUUUCCCACGUUCAUCAUUCCCGGCAGCAGCGUGAGCAGCCACAGUGUGAAUAAACAUAUAUGAUGAAGAAGAAGAAGAAGAAGAAGAAGAAGAAGAAG